UGGCAGACGGUCACAGAAGCGAGGAGCGACGAAGCGAGCAGACGACCAGCAGCUCUGAUAUGCCACGACCACCUGCAGCGAGAAGCCGUUCUCGACCCCAACAACGGCACCGACCUCAGCGAUUCCCUGGGAACUCUCCUGCUCGGAGGCCUUCCCCGUCACCCCGACUUGUGAAUGUGGCUACCUGGAUUGUCCUAGUUGAAGGCCGCAGUAUCGGAUACUGUUCCAGAACGAGAUGGCGGAACCAGGCGCGACCUCUCAUCGGUGACCCACCUGAUUCCCUACCAGAGCCCUUCCGCGGGCUGGGGUUAUCAAAUAGACACCCCACCGAGCCUCCAGCGGUGUACACGGAACAAGAAAGAAGCACCCUCUGCCAUUUCUGCGGUGUUCCACUGAUCCACCCUCCGACCCAUGAUGCGGGAGCCCUUCACCUGCAUCGUAUCCAACAAGCCGCACAGCAGAGGGCAGCAGCUAACAACGUGGCCUCCGCUCCUACACGUCGGGACAUAGUCGCUGCAGUGAACCUACUUCGGCAGCUGGCCCCCCAAGUUCUCGCUCGGCCAUCCUUCUCACCGGACCCUGAGGAUAUAAUCCUCGAUCUCCCCGAACUUCCGGACAUUUGACUCAAGGGGGGGAGAGUGUGGGGGGCGCUGAUAACCCGGCAACUUCCGCGCGAUAGCGCAGAUAGCGCAAGAGAUAAAAGAGCGAGCGCUCGGGAAAAGAGGGAUUCGUGCGGCAGGCACGCUGGCAGACGGUCACAGAAGCGAGGAGCGACGAAGCGGGCAGACGACCAGCAGCUCUGAUGUAAGGCAAUAAACUUUGUCUCUUUUGUUCA